GACGAACGCUGGCGGCGUGCCUAAUACAUGCAAGUCGAACGCAGUGGGGACGGGUGAGUAACACCUGGGUAACCUCCCAUCAGAGGGGAUAACACUUGGAAACAGGUGCUAAACCGAUACUGAUGGAUGGACCCGCGGUGCAUUAGCUAGUUGGUGAGGUAACGGCUCACCAAGGCCACGAUGCAUAGACGAACUGAGAGGGUGAUGGGAGAAACUGGGACUGAGAAACGGCCCAGACUCCUACGGGAGGCAGCAGUAGGAAAUCUUCGGCAAUGGACGAAAGGCUGAACGAGCAACGCGGCGUGAGUGAAGAAGGUUUUCGGAUCGUAAAACUCUGUAGUUAGAGAAGCGGUAUCUAACCAGAAAGCCACGGCUAACUACGUGCCAGCCGCCGCGGUAAUUC
rnacentral:rRNA from 1 species